rnacentral:rRNA from 1 species
UAGUAAUCGCGAAUCAGAAUGUCGCGGUGAAUACGUUCCCGGGCCUUGUACACACCGCCCGUCACACCAUGAGAGCUGGUAACACCCGAAGUCCGUGAGGUAACCGUAAGGAACCAGCGGCCGAAGGGGGGAUUAGUGAUUGGGGUGAAGUCGUAACAAGGUAGCCGUAGGAGAACCUGCGGCUGGAUCACCUCCUUUCUAAGGAGA